rnacentral:lncRNA from 1 species
GGAAUUCAGUUGAUUUGUCCUGGUUAGAAAGCACUUUGUUCACACCUAUACAUAUGACUCUAGGUUAUGGGUUCUUCUGGAGUCUUCUGAACCUGCCGGGCAUUUCUGACUGGAUGAAAAUUAACAAAAGUCCAUGUUCAUCCUGAUGAAAAUUAGCAGCAGUUCAUCUUAGUUUAAUUGCCACAACGUGCAGCUAUGAGAGCUUUAGGAAGGGGGAAACAGCAAGUGGAGAGGAAGCUUCCUUUUUAAUGACACGACCUGGAAGUUGCAAAUAUGUCUUCAACUCACAUCCAAUUGGCCAGAGCCUAGCUGCAAGAGAAGCUGGAAACAUUUCUAGCUGUGUGGCCAUAUUCUGGGGCUUCUGCACUUUCUUUCAUGAGAAGGAAUGAGAUUGGAACUAUAAGGCCUGAUAAAAUUUGGAAGUCAUCAUUUAUUUAACAAUCACCAGGUACCGAGGGC